AGCCGCGGGUCCCGGCCGUUGAUGGCCGCAGGGACCGUCGCGAUGGGGGUGUAUUCGCCGUAUAAGACGCACCGACUUUUACCCCCCAGUUUUGGGGAAGAAAAAGUGCGUCUAAUACGGCGAAAAAUAUGGUAAUACAGUGAGAUUGUUCACCUCCCAGCCUGGCAGGAGACCAAACUAAGGAAGUGUUUCUCUGCACUCUGCUUGAUUGACAGCUGCACAGAGCCUCACUGAAAGCUGCAAAGAGCCUCAUUGAAAGCUGAAAAGAGCCUCACUGAAACAUGUAUAGAGCCUCACUGAAAGCUGCACAGAGCCUGAAGUCUUCUAUUUAGCACAGCACUGCAACGAUGUGAGGGUGGAAGUGGUCCCCUAGCAGGCUAAAGUGAUGUCAUGCCUGCUGGGAAAUGCCAACUUUCUCCUGCUGGGAGAUUGCACUAUGUGAGCAAGAAUAAAGGUACACGACUUUACCAAACUUUUGAAACAAUGCCUGAACAUGGGAGCUCCCGAUUGUGUAGAUAACAUGUUUACUGUACUAUGUAGUACUCUUAUCAUUUACAUUGCUAACAAUUUUGAACACUGGAACAACAGUUCACACCAUUACUGAAAAAGUAAUGGCCUCACUGUAAUUUAUUUGAUAGAUUGAUUAACAAUUCAUUGUUAAUUGGAUGUUUGCCUCUCAGGUUGGAAAAUGGCUUUCGGGAAGCAUCAGGCUCAUUUUUGAUCUUCAUGGUGAUAUUUGAUCUGUCUUGCUACAUUUACUGGUAAUUGUAAUAAGCCUGAUUCCAGGAUAUGCUUAAGCCGACUGAGUUUUGACCAGCCUGUAUAUUAAUCUUUACACAUUUAUGAUGAACUUAGAAUUGCUGGAGGAUGAACAUUUGUGCAGCUAAGAAAUAAAUGUAAUCAGUCUCCAAGUGCAGUUGCGAACAGCCUGAGGGAGAAACCGAUUCAAAGCGAGGAAAGUGUAUUGUGCUGGUAAUGGCUGACUCCUUCCUGUAAAUCAUCUUUCCUGAAUUUUUCUUCAUAGUACUGGAUACCUAUUGGAUUACUGGGAACUGCAAUAAUGCAUUGAUUAGGAUGGUGACAAUCUUACAGGCAGCCUGUUAGAGAUACAAGUCAGACAAUUUGAGCGAAGCUUUUAUUUUGUAAAAUGAAAACUUAUGUUAUUGGCUGCUAUAGGCAACAAAGUUUCUAUUUAUUUCCCUAAAUGUCUCAGAAUAUGGCUUGGGCUUGGAAUGCACAGCAACAGUUACACAAUAAAAUCUGUGAUCUAAAGAGCAACAGGAAGGGGAAUAAAAGGGGUAGGACAUUUGAGUGUUAAAGGGGUACUCCCGUGGAAAACUUUUUUUUUCUAAAUCAACUGGUGGCAGAAUGUUAAAAAGAUUUGUAAAGUACUUCUAUGAAAAAAAAUCUUAAUCCUUGCAGUACUUUUUAGGGGCUAUAGCUACAGAAGAAAUACUUUUCUUUUUGGGUUUCUCUGAUGUCCCGACCACAGUGCUCUCUGCUGACCUCUCCUGUCCAUUUUUUGGAACUGUCCAGAGCAGGAGAAAAUCUGCAUAACAAACACAUGCUUUUCAUUUUCACGGAACACUGUUCCAAAAAUCUGCCAGACACCUGUGGG